UAUGCUUUCCCUCCCCCCUUCUCCCACCCCCCAACGGGCCCCGGUGCGUGAUGUUCCCCUGCCUGUGUCCAAGUGUUCGCAAUGUUCAAUUCCCAUCUAUGAGUGAGAACAUGAGGUGUUUGGUUCUUUGUCCUUGCGAUAGUUUGCUGAGAAUGAUGGUUUCCAGCUUCAUCCAUGUCCUAAAAAGGGACAUGAACUCAUCAUUUUUCUGGCUGCGUAUUAGUUCAUGGUGUAUAUGUGCCACAAUUUCUUAAUCCAGUCUAUCAUUGUUGGACAUUUGGGUUGGUUCCAUUAUUCUUCUAUUUAGGGGGCUAUCUGUGUUAGCUUACAGCAUUUAGCAACAAAGAAAAUGAGUUGUCACAUUGUCAGAGCAGCAUUAUUUUGAAGUGUGGCAUAUACCCAAUAAAAGCCCUAAAAGACUAUCAGGGAGCUGGAGAAGAGCAGUUCUGUGAUCUACCUCAUCUGAUUCAUUGAUAUGUCAUUAAGAAAUUGUCUUCCUUACUUUGAUGAUCUAUUCUAUUACUAUUAACGGGAUGUCUCUCAGGGACAGGAGAGAGAAAAAC
rnacentral:lncRNA from 10 species